rnacentral:tRNA from 1 species
UAGUGAUUAGUUUAAUAAAAACAAAUGAUUUCGACUCAUUAGACUAUGGAUUACCAUAAUCACUAA